GGCCGCAGUAUUCUGACUGUGCUAAGGUAGCAAAAUCAUUUGCCUUUUAAUUGAAGGCCGGAAUGAAAGAUCUGACAUAGAGUGUACUGUCUCGAAAAUUAAUAAAUAUAAUUUUAUUUUAAGGUAAAAAAGCCUUAAACUAUUAAAAGGACGAUAAGACCCUAAAAUCUAUUUUUAAUAUAAAUGUUUAAAGAUUAGCCUAAAAAUACAAUUAAAAAUAUACUGGGGCGGUAAAAAUUUAAAAAAACUAUUUACUUUUUAACAUAUUAAAUGAUACUAAUUUAACCUGUUUGAAUAAAAUAAGAUACUUUAGGGAUAACAGCAUUAUAUAUUUUUAGAGUCCCUAUCGACGGGUAUGUUUAUGACCUCGAUGUUGAAUUGAAUUCUCUCUACUUAGAAGAAUAAGUAGAAGGUGAGUCUGUUCGACUCUUGAUAGUUCACAUGAUUUGAGUUCAAACCGGU
rnacentral:rRNA from 1 species